GUGAGUAGUUCAGAGUUUGAUCCUGGCUCAGGACGAACGCUGGCGGCGUGCCUAACACAUGCAAGUCGAACGGGGUAAUGACUUCGGUUAUUACUUAGUGGCGAACGGGUGAGUAACGCGUGAGAAACCUGCCUUUCAGUGGGGGACAACAGUUGGAAACGACUGCUAAUACCGCAUAAUGCAACGAGACCGCAUGAUCUUGUUGCCAAAGCUUUAUGUGCUGAAAGAUGGUCUCGCGUCUGAUUAGCUAGUUGGUGAGGUAACGGCUCACCAAGGCGACGAUCAGUAGCCGGUCUGAGAGAAUGAACGGCCACAUUGGGACUGAGAUACGGCCCAG
rnacentral:rRNA from 1 species